rnacentral:sRNA from 1 species
GCCAGGCACCGUGGUGCAUGCCUGUAAUCCCAGCGGCUCAGAGGCUGAGGCAGGAGGAUCGCGUGUUCAAAGCCAGCCUCCCAAGCCAAGCAACUCAGUGAGACCCUGUCUCUA